UAGGCUGAAGUCCGCUGGAUGGGACGACUAGUUGUUAAUUAGUGUUUUUGCGGGAUCGAGGCCCGUCAGUCUAGU
rnacentral:tRNA from 1 species